CCUUAGAUUACUAUCAACAAGGCUUCGAAGAACACAAAAGAAAAGAAAAGGCUUUGAUCAUCAGAGGGAGCUGAAGCUGGAGAGCUCAUUAACCUUUCUUUCUUUGUUUCCUUUUAUGUCCAUGAAUGGAAAUAGGGCGUUCCAACCCUCACCAUCGGGCUGAAUCAAACAACAUAAAAAUGGAGGGGAAGAAUAAGUUCAAAAUAUAUCCAAGGGGACUAGAUAUUACGUGGGGCAACGACAAUCGUUAUUGGAUGUUAUCAGACAUGGAGGCGGAAGACAGUUUUGCAGAACUAAAACAAGUAAAUUGGCUAGAAGUAACUGGUUCAACACCGAAAAAUCUAAAGAUUGGGGCUUGGUUCAAAGUGAGUUUCAAUGUGACACUAAGACCCAAUGCUUUUGGAUGGGAUGAGUGUAAUGUUUACAUAAUGGCUAAGAUUGGGAAAAAGGGGCAUUACAGUUUCAAGAAGCUGAAUCUUAAUGUUAAACAACCAGAAGGAAGAUUUAACAUUCCCCAUAAUGAAUUAAAAAUUAAAGUUGCCAAGCCCAAAAACGGAUCCGAAGAGGAUCUCAAGCUCUACUUUGGUAUGUAUGAAGUUUGGAGCAACAGAUGGAAAGGAGGGUUGAGGAUCUAUCAUGCACUAGUUGAGGAGUGCGAGGCACCAAAAGAGAAAAAAUUAUGAUGAUCGUGUCUAUAACAAUUGCUAUCGACUCGACGUGUGGUUUCAAGAACAUGAGAAUAAUAGGAGAAUAAUGUACUUAUGUAUCCACUAGUAUUAUGGUGAUACUAAAUUUUUAAUGUAUUUCGUGGAUUUUAUUUGUUUUAGAAGAAUAUGCACCAAAAAUAUGUAUUGUAUUUGUUGAUAUGUUGGGAAAUUUCCAUAUUGAGUAUGUUUGGCUAUCUCUAGAAAUCUUUCAACUUGGAGAAGUUGGAUA